rnacentral:precursor_RNA from 1 species
AGUUGAGAGAGGGACAAAGUGAAUGAGGAUGGCCUCCAUAUUCUUCUUGGGAUUGGGGUCCUUAACCUCUCACCAACCCCAUGCUUGGCCUCCUCCUCACCUUGCUGGUAUAAAUAGCCCUAACUCUCCCCUCUUUCUCCCUCCACCUCCCUAAGCUGAAGCUUACAAGAACUAGCUGCUUCUUGUGCCUUCUUCCUUCAUUUCAACUCUUCUUCAGCUACAUGAGCACCUGAACUAUACAAAGAAGUGAACAACUAGCUUAGCUAGCCACAGUUUCUUGCCAGCUUCUUGACAUGAAUUAUUGCAUGUUAUUAGCUGUGCACCUGCAAAAGAAGAUGGUCCUCUUUGUGGUCUUCCACAGCUUUCUUGAACUGCAUCUUUGAGAGAGAUUAGCAUCCCUAUGUGUGGAUUUUGCUUGCACGAGUGUGCAGUUCAAUAAAGCUGUGGGAAAUUACAGAGAGAGGUCAAUUGACAGCAAGGUUAGUUGGAGCUUUCACCAAUUUUAGGAUGUAGAUGCAAGGUACCUACAUAUUUAGAAGGCAAGUACUAUAGAAAGUUUAUAUGGUCAUGGCUCUCCAACUCUAUUAUGUGACAAGAUUUGGUUUCGUGCCUUCUUUUGAAUGAAAAGCUUCAAAUAGUUUUCUUACUAUGUCUUGUUGGGUCCAUUGUUUGGCAUUUAACUUCUGAUUAUAGUUUCUCAGUUCUUCACCUUGUGUUCUUAACUGUUACUUAUCCAAUAAAUGCAAGUAAUCUGAUUGCAUCAACUUUAUUUUUAUUAUGCCCUAGGAAAUUAUAUAUGAAUUAGUUCGCAGCGAAUCGACAUGAUGUCUGUAGGUGCAUUCUUGUUUUCUUUUCUUUCCUUCUCUUGAGGUCUUGCCAAAAUGUUAAUGCAUGUAAUAUGUAUAGACUAGCUAGU